UUUAUUUAUUAUUAAUCUAUAUGAAUUCCUAAUGAUUUUGCCACAUGGCAAAUUUUCCUCCACUCUCACUAACUCUUUUUUUAAAAUUAAUUUUUACUCAUGGCUUUUCUCCUCUCCUCCUCUCUAUUCAAUGACAUAUAAUCAAUGUGCUUUUCUCUUCAAUAUAAGUUCUUUCUUUUUCCUCAAACAAUUUCUAACAGGCAAAAUUAAAAGAAGAGAUGUUAGUUUUGAUUUCAUAAUUGAUGCGAUAAUUCUGACCAUUUUAUGCUCAAAAAGGUGCAAAAUCAUGCAAAUUUCUAUGAGAUUUUCAUCGCAAUCGUCGUCAUGAUAGCAACAUUAUCAUAUCUAUCUUCAUACGACUUUUAUAGAUUUUUUCUUUAAAUGAUAAUUCUAGGCAGUUAUCAAUUUUCAAUGGUUAUUUUGGUUAGUUCAAUUCAUACAUUUUUCUACCCAAAAAAUAAAACACACUUGAAUUUUUAUUUUCCAAACUCCUUUCUUCGUCCUCUUCAAUAUUUUUUAUUUUUUCUUCUAUUAUUUAUCAGUCGCAUCGCGCUGGUUACUACACUAGUUUAAUUAAUGGUGCAACUGCAUCUCCAGAUGCGUGUGU
rnacentral:lncRNA from 1 species